rnacentral:rRNA from 1 species
AUUGAACGCUGGCGGCAGGCCUAACACAUGCAAGUCGAGCGGUAGAGAGGUGCUUGCAUCUCUUGAGAGCGGCGGACGGGUGAGUAAUGCCUAGGAAUCUGCCUAGUGGUGGGGGAUAACGUUCGGAAACGGACGCUAAUACCGCAUACGUCCUACGGGAGAAAGCGGGGGAUCUUCGGACCUCGCGCCAUUAGAUGAGCCUAGGUCGGAUUAGCUAGUUGGUGAGGUAAUGGCUCACCAAGGCGACGAUCCGUAACUGGUCUGAGAGGAUGAUCAGUCACACUGGAACUGAGACACGGUCCAGACUCUACGGAGGCAGCAGUGGGGAAUAUUGGACAAUGGGGGGCAACCCUGAUCCAGCAAUGCCGCGUGAGUGAAGAAGGCCUUCGG